UCCUGGCAGGCUCCCGUGGCUCUGUGCAUUCCUGCUGCAGAGCCGUAUGGAGCCUAUCUGGGACAUCUAAGAGAAGCGCUGAACAAAUGUCACUAUCGAUAGCUGGCAGAGCACAGUCGGCUCAGGCCUGGAAGUCUCAGAUAUGGACAUCUUGGCAGAAAUCUCCAUCAGGUAAGAUACAGUUUCAAUCAGCCCAGGAGUGACCAGCGAGGGAGGCUAAGAAGAGGCCACGUGUAGAAGCUGUUCGCAAACACGGCUUUGGAUAGAACUCUCUUCCUUACAGGGCAAGUAGAGGGAAAAAAUCACAUCACACCCAUGGGAGACAAAUAGUCAAACUCAAAGAAAACAGAAUGCUAUCUU